GGGGAUCUCGUUUUAUGUUAUUGCUUACAGAUGAUUUCUCAAAAUAUUCNUUUGUUUAUUUCUUGAAACACAAGUCAGAAGUUUUUGAAUAUUUUAAACAAUGGGUGAGAAUGAUUGAGAACAAACACAGCACAAAUGUUGNUGCAAUACAAACUGACAGAGGAGGUGAAUUCAUGAGCCAACAAUUCAAACGCUGGCUUCUUAAGAGAGGAAUUCAGCACAGGAUGACUAAUCCUUAUAGCCCAUUUGAAAAUGGUGUUGCUGAGAGGAGAAUCGGUUUAGUUAAAGCUAUGAGAGAAGCUAUGAUGCUUGAUGCUAACUUAUCUCCAAAGUAUUGGGCAGAAUGUUCAAAAACAGCUAUCUUUAACUUGAAUCGGUUAUGGAGCACUUCCAUUUCUGACAUUCCUUAUAGAAAGCUGUGCAACAGAAAUCCCAAUUUUGAGUAUGCUCACACAUUUGGGCAACAAGCCUACGUUCUCUUACCUGAAGCUCAGAGAACAAAGCAAAGUAAAGCAUCUCUUUGUCAUUUCUUGGGGUGCUCAGCUGGAACAAAGGGGUUCCGUUUCAUAGACAAAAAUGGCAAAAUAAUCAUUUCCAGAAGUGCCAAUUUCCUAGAGCAUGAGAACUGGGACAGAUUACAUUCUAACAAGGAAAUUUUUCUACAGCCAAUGCAGCAAGAAAGGGCAGAAACGGAUGAUUCUUUUCAGAGCUCAGUUCCUUCUCCCUCAAUGUCUCAGCUUAAACUGAAACAUGAUACCCCACAGAGCAAAGAGGAAGGCGUGACUCGUCAUUCAAGCCAGUCAGGGCAGACUGUCAUUUCUCAACAUGCUGUACCUAAGAGUGAGAAGCAAGACUUUCCAGUCAGAGAAGGGGGGCGAAUUUUGCCCACAGCUCAAGCCGAAAACCAAGAUGGCGAUUUUUCUGAAGUUGAGCAAACUUCANAGAGAAUUUCUAUGAGAUCUACAAAAGGAAUUCCACCAGAUAGAUAUGGAUUUACUCAGUUAGCUGAAGAAUUAACAAAUAAUAUUCCAAAUUCCUACCAGGAAGUUCUGCAAUUACCUCAAAAUCAACAAAAACUCUGGAUUCAAGCAAUGAAUAGAGAAUUUUCUGUACUUCAGAGCCAGAAAGUAUUUACUGAGGCUACUUUACCUCACAAUGAGAAGNCAAUUACAGCCAAAUGGAUUUUUAGAAAGAAACUUUCUCCUGAGGGAAAAUUAAUUUUUAAAGCGAGAUUGGUAGCGCA
rnacentral:lncRNA from 1 species